AGCGUACCUACUAGCCUACGACGGGUACGGGUUGUGAGAGCAAGAGCCCGGAGAUGGAUUCUGAGACACGAAUCCAGGCCCUACGGGGUGCAGCAGGCGCGAAAACUUUACAAUGCCGGCAACGGCGAUAAGGGGACCUCGAGUGCCAGGUUACAAAUCUGGCUGUCGUGAUGCCUAAAAAGCAUUGCAUAGCAAGGGCCGGGCAAGACCGGUGCCAGCCGCCGCGGUAACACCGGCGGCUCGAGUGGUAACCGUUAUUAUUGGGUCUGAAGGGUCUGUAGCCGGCCAGAUAAGUCUCUUGAGAAAUCCAGCAGCUCAACUGUUGGGCUUUCAGGAGAUACUGUCUGGCUCGAGGCCGGGAGAGGUGAGAGGUACUUCAGGGGUAGGGGUGAAAUCUUGUAAUCCUUGAAGGACCACCAGUGGCGAAGGCGUCUCACCAGAACGGACCUGACGGCAAGGGACGAAAGCUAGGGGCACGAACCGGAUUAGAUACCCGGGUAGUCCUAGCCGUAAACGAUACUCGCUAGGUGUCGGCCACGGUGCGACCGUUGUCGGUGCCGUAGGGAAGCCGUGAAGCGAGCCACCUGGGAAGUACGGCCGCAAGGCUGAAACUUAAAGGAAUUGGCGGGGGAGCACCACAACGGGUGGAGCUUGCGGUUUAAUUGGAUUCAACGCCGGAAAUCUUACCGGGACCGACAGCAACAUGAAGGCCAGGCUGAAGACUUUGCCGGAUUAGCUGAGAGGUGGUGCAUGGCCGUCGUCAGUUCGUACUGUGAAGCAUCCUGUUAAGUCAGGCAACGAGCGAGACCUACGCCCACAGUUGCCAGCGUACUCUCCGGAGUGACGGGUACACUGUGGGGACCGCCGCUGCUAAAGCGGAGGAAGGAAUGGGCAACGGUAGGUCAGUAUGCCCCGAAUAUCCCGGGCUACACGCGAGCUACAAUGGUUGGUACAAUGGGUAUCUACCCCGAAAGGGGAUGGAAAUCUCCUAAAGCCAAUCUUAGUUCGGAUUGAGGGCUGCAACUCGCCCUCAUGAAGCUGGAAUCCGUAGUAAUCGCGUUUCAACAGAACGCGGUGAAUACGUCCCUGCCCCUUGCACACACCGCCCGUCAAACCACCCGAGUAGGGUCUGAAUGAGAGCGCUUCCUCUGGAGGCGUUCGAAUUUGGGCUUUGCAAGGGGGGUUAAGUCGUAACAAGGUAGCCGUAGGGGAAUCUGCGGCUG
rnacentral:rRNA from 1 species